UGUGUGCCCAAGCAUUGAGGCAGUCAAAGUAGGCAAAUCCGCUUUGAUAAUGCUAGGAUGUGAUGGGGAGCGAAAUUUAGUAGCGAAGUAGCUGAUUUCACACUGUCAAGAAAAGUCUCUAUCGAGGGUAAAGGUACCCGUACCGCAAACCGACACAGGUGGGUGAGGAGAGUAUCCUAAGGCCAGCGAGAGAACUGUUGUUAAGGAACUCGGCAAAAUGACCCCGUAACGUAGGGAUAAGGGGUGCCACCAUCAGGUGGCCGCAGAGAAUAGG
rnacentral:rRNA from 1 species